AGAGUUUGAUCAUGGCUCAGAUUGAACGCUGGCGGCAUGCCUUACACAUGCAAGUCGAGCGGCAGCGCGGGGGCAACCCUGGCGGCGAGCGGCGAACGGGUGAGUAAUACAUCGGAACGUGUCCUGUAGUGGGGGAUAACCAGUCGAAAGAUUGGCUAAUACCGCAUACGAUCUACGGAUGAAAGCGGGGGACCGCAAGGCCUCGCGCUGUUGGAGCGGCCGAUGUCGGAUUAGCUAGUUGGCGGGGUAAAAGCCCACCAAGGCGACGAUCCGUAGCUGGUCUGAGAGGACGAUCAGCCACACUGGAACUGAGACACGGUCCAGACUCCUACGGGAGGCAGCAGUGGGGAAUUUUGGACAAUGGGCGCAAGCCUGAUCCAGCCAUGCCGCGUGAGUGAAGAAGGCCUUCGGGUUGUAAAGCUCUUUCGGCGGGGACGAAAUGGUUCGUGCCAACACCACGAACUGAUGACGGUACUCGUAGAAGA
rnacentral:rRNA from 1 species